rnacentral:rRNA from 1 species
AGCGAACGCUGGCGGCAGGCCUAACACAUGCAAGUCGAACGGAUCCUUCGGGAUUAGUGGCGGACGGGUGAGUAACACGUGGGAACGUGCCCUUUGGUUCGGAACAACUCAGGGAAACUUGAGCUAAUACCGGAUGUGCCCUUCGGGGGAAAGAUUUAUCGCCAUUGGAGCGGCCCGCGUCUGAUUAGCUAGUUGGUGAGGUAACGGCCCACCAAGGCGACGAUCAGUAGCUGGUCUGAGAGGAUGAUCAGCCACACUGGGACUGAGACACGGCCCAGACUCCUACGGGAGGCAGCAGUGGGGAAUCUUGCGCAAUGGGCGAAAGCCUGACGCAGCCAUGCCGCGUGAAUGAUGAGGGUCUUAGGAUUGUAAAAUUCUUUCAGCGGGGACGAUAAUGACGGUACCCGCAGAAGAAGCUCCGGCUAACUUCGUG